UACGUAGGGGGCAAGCGUUGUCCGGAAUCAUUGGGCGUAAAGAGCGUGUAGGCGGCUCGGUAAGUCCGCUGUAAAAGUCCAGGGCUCAACCCUGGAAAGCCGGUGGAAACUGUCGAGCUAGAGUCCGGAAGAGGCGAGUGGAAUCCUGGUGUAGCGGUGAAAUGCGCAGAUAUCAGGAGGAACACCAAGUGGCGAAGGCAGCUCGCUGGGACGGUACUGACGCUGAGACGACGAAGCGUGGGGAGCAAACAGG
rnacentral:rRNA from 1 species